AAAAGCUAUGCUGUGAAACUUGUGUAACACACAGGAAUUUUAUGGCCUGGAGUUCACUGCAAUAGCAAACAAUCUUCCAUUGCAUGCAUUGGAAAUAACCAGCUUCUAUUUACCAGUCUUCACUGUUAACUGCACCUACGGGAAGCAGGCAAACAGUUCUCAGAGGAAAAGGAAUAAGGGGAAUAAGGAAGAUUAAACUGACGUUAACUUCCAUGCUGUCUGGCUGGGAUGAGCGCUGCAAGUGAGUGGUAAGAAAUUCUUCUAAGACUUUCUAAUGCAGCACCCAGAUUUCCUUAACUUCUUCCACUGAGCCCUCACAAUUUAUAAAACCCAG
rnacentral:lncRNA from 1 species